rnacentral:rRNA from 1 species
AUGGCCCGCACGAAGCAGACGGCGCGCAAGUCCACCGGCGGCAAGGCGCCGAGGAAGCAGCUGGCCACCAAGGCGGCCCGCAAGUCCGCGCCGGCCACCGGCGGCGUCAAGAAGCCCCACCGUUUCCGCCCCGGCACCGUCGCGCUCCGGGAGAUCCGCAAGUACCAGAAGAGCACGGAGCUGCUCAUCCGCAAGCUCCCCUUCCAGCGCCUGGUGCGGGAAAUCGCGCAGGACUUUAAGACCGACCUGCGGUUCCAGUCAUCCGCCGUCUCCGCCCUGCAGGAGGCCGCCGAGGCGUACCUGGUGGGGAUGUUCGAGGACACCAACCUGUGCGCCAUCCACGCCAAGCGCGUCACCAUCAUGCCCAAGGACAUCCAGCUCGCACGCCGCAUCCGCGGCGAGCGUGCCUAG